UGAGAGAGAGAAGAGUAUAAGGAUUUGGAACUAUUGGGUGUAUGCGGUAACAGCCACAUUGAUAAGUCUCAGGUCCUGGACCAGCACUAGUACUUGGAAAGGAGGCGAGAGAGAGAGGAUCCGAGAAAAUGGGAUUUCACUCACCCUUGUAACCAACGGACGCAAUGUGGGCUGGUGUGUGGAUGUCAGUCCAGCAAGGUUGGAAUCCAUAUUUCUACAAUUUCCCUGUUGGAUCUCCCAGCUGCUCUGAGAUAACUCUGCAGUGAAUAUCUGCAUUCAGCAAUCCUUUCUCUCUACAGAAGAUCAAACCAGUACCAGAAUCUAAUUAAAAAUCUCCAUGCAACUGA